GAUUCUGUAGGUCAGUCGGUUAGAGCGCUGUACCGGAGGUGCUGGGUCGCAAGUUCGAUCCCCUGCCGGUAACC